UAACUCACGGGAGUUUCUCCGCUAC
rnacentral:piRNA from 1 species